GAUGAACGCUGGCGGCGUGCCUAAUACAUGCAAGUAGAACGCUGAAGCUUGGUGCUUGCACCGAGCGGAUGAGUUGCGAACGGGUGAGUAACGCGUAGGUAACCUACCUGGUAGCGGGGGAUAACUAUUGGAAACGAUAGCUAAUACCGCAUAACAGUAGAUAUUGCAUGAUAUCUGCUUGAAAGGUGCAAUUGCAUCACUACCAGAUGGACCUGCGUUGUAUUAGCUAGUUGGUGAGGUAACGGCUCACCAAGGCGACGAUACAUAGCCGACCUGAGAGGGUGAUCGGCCACACUGGGACUGAGACACGGCCCAGACUCCUACGGGAGGCAGCAGUAGGGAAUCUUCGGCAAUGGACGGAAGUCUGACCGAGCAACGCCGCGUGAGUGAAGAAGGUUUUCGGAUCGUAAAGCUCUGUUGUAAGAGAAGAACGAGUGUGAGAGUGGAAAGUUCAC
rnacentral:rRNA from 1 species